ensembl:snoRNA
ACUCUUUGGCUCCCUUUCCUAUUGGAGCUCAACACUGGUCUUGGUGGUCUUAGGAAGGAAGAGUUUACUGAAGUUCGCCUCAUGGCUCUGUAGGCUGGUUUCAGCAUGUAGGCUAGAUUCAAACAGGA